rnacentral:rRNA from 1 species
GACGAACGCUGGCGGCGUGCCUAAUACAUGCAAGUAGAACGCACAGUUUAUACCUUAGCUUGCUACACCAUAGACUGUGAGUUGCGAACGGGUGAGUAACGCGUAGGUAACCUGCCUGGUAGCGGGGGAUAACUAUUGGAAACGAUAGCUAAUACCGCAUAAUAUUGAUUAUUGCAUGAUAAUUGAUUGAAAGAUGCUAUUGCAUCACUACCAGAUGGACCUGCGUUGUAUUAGCUAGUAGGUGAGGUAACGGCUCACCUAGGCGACGAUACAUAGCCGACCUGAGAGGGUGAUCGGCCACACUGGGACUGAGACACGGCCCAGACUCCUACGGGAGGCAGCAGUAGGGAAUCUUCGGCAAUGGACGAAAGUCUGACCGAGCAACGCCGCGUGAGUGAAGAAGGUUUUCGGAUCGUAAAGCUCUGUUGUCAGAGAAGAACGGGUGUGAGAGUGGAAAGUUCACACUGUGACGGUAUCUUACCAGAAAGGGACGGCUAACUACGUG